UACGUAGGGGCGUAGCGUUGUCCGGAUUAUUGGGCGUAAAGAGCGCGUAGGCGGCUAGGUAAGUCCGACGUGAAAUCUGGAGGCUCAACCUCCAGCGGUCGUUGGAAACUACUUGGCUAGAGUCCGGAAGAGGAGAGUGGAAUUCCUGGUGUAGCGGUGAAAUGCGCAGAUAUCAGGAAGAACACCGAUGGCGAAAGCAGCUCUCUGGGACGGUACUGACGCUGAGGCGCGAAAAGCGUGGGGGAGCGAACAGG
rnacentral:rRNA from 1 species